GCGGCGUAUCGCUACUACAACGCGGCGGGAUAACAUCACUACACAUGGAAGGUAUCCAACGGACCAACUCAUCUCAAAUACUAUGAUGAGUUUACAAGAUCUAAUAUACUGUUGGAGAAAUUACAUGAAUAAUUCAAUGUGAAACAUCACAACAUGCUCUGCAGGAUUAUGUUCGUAACCAGGGAUAUAUGUCUAUGCUCUCUUAGGAAUGGAUUUCUUUGCUUUCAUGAACGGGUCAGAUACAUGGAGAGCUCCCGAAUUAGUCUCUUCUAUAGCAAUGUCAAUUUGUCUUGGGUAAAUGAGAGCCAAUGGGUUUCUGUAACACCAAUUUUGGUAAGCCUACAUAAUGGUUAGAAUGAGUUAUGCAACUGAUAAAUCAAAAUUCGCAAGCACUCCUAUAGGUACAAAAAGGAAGAUCUAUGGUUUCACCUGAAAGAAUAUUAGUUUCAUGUUGAUCAGAGUUGUAGAUAAAUAAGUCACAGUCCGUUUAAUCCUUUUGUAGCAUGAAUUGAUAUAGAUAUUGUGAUUUAUAAUAUUUUUUACUACAUUUUUACCCGUACAGCUAUGUAUUUAUCCGCAUAUCAUAAUUGCAACUUUUAAGUUGGCUUAGCUACUUCCUCCAUGCAGCUUCUACUCUUCCAAGCAGAAACAAUGACAGAAACAGGGGAAUUAAUUUAAAUCUAGGGAUGACGGAACUAUAUAUUUCUCAUCAGGCCUCAACUUUAGAUAAUGAUUCUGAGUAGAUUGGAUGCAAGGCUAUACUUCUAGAUUUUUAUGUGGACCAUGAUUGUAUUUAGAGCUUGAGGCAAUAAUUUAGAUGUUUACACCAUCAUAUUUGAUGGAGAAUAAAAAAAAUUGAAGUGGUGAUAAAUAAACAGAGCCCUUUGGUUUUACUUGCAACUGUCGGUUCAUCUGCACUCCGCAAAGCAUGAGAAGGUGGUGACUGUUUUAGUUUUUCAGCCAAGAGGAGUUUGGUGGGUUAAUCAUCUCACCCCAAGAGCAUUAACAUUUUUCACUAUCACCUGGAAUGUUAAGCAUGAACAUUUUCUCACUUUGUUAUAUCAAUCAGUACUUUUGUUGUGGUUGUUCUUGGAAGCAGGCAUGUGCAUUUUACAGUAUUCAUUUAUAAAUGUAGAUGUGUGUGCUUUUGAUCUCAGAAAAUAUCUCCCAAUUCUUAUAGUGCUUUGACAUGAGAACAAGUGCAUAGUUCAGAGAAACCAUACCCCCUCUCAAUCAUGCAUGCAAUAAAUCGCUAUUAUUCAUUAAAUGAUGAAUUUCUGCUCCUAAUAAACUGAAAUUGUGCUACUCCUGGUACAAUCAUUUACUGAUAAUCGUGUUUGCGGAAUGAGUACAGUUUGGCCAUGUACUUAUCUAAGCCCAUGGAGUUGCCAGCUUUCAUUUUGUUUUGCAAGUUCCUUCCCCUACAAUGUGGUUGUUUGAGACAAGGUUCAAGAUUUAUGUUUUGCAAGCUAAUUUAUAGGAUCUGGGCAUUGUUGUAACUAUUUUUUUCAAUCAAAGCAUAACUUAUCCAACAAUCAUUGCGGAGUGUGGUGGUUGUAUGCAGAGCCAUGCAUGUUCUGAAAUUAUCCUUCCACAUUAUUAUUAGCCAUGUCUUUUUUUUGUAUGUUUCGAAUUUUACUGUGUCUUUGUCUUGAUUUUAACAAAGACGUGUGUUGCACGUGCCUAUUUACCAGCUGAGGCAAGAACCGUGAAUGCCUACCAUCAGGUUUUAGUGAUGGUAAUGAAGAAAAGAAUAUCUCCAGGUGCAUGUUUGGACAAUGGGAGCAAUCUCUACAGAUCUUUGUUGAUAUUUCAGAAUGGUGUUUCCCUGAAAGAACAUUUUAUGAUGAUGCUGACACUUGAUUAGUAGACGGGGUGAAAGGUGCUCUAGCAAGAUCAUGACAUAAGGACAGGGAUGACAUAUCAUGAUGGGGAAGAUGACAUUUAUUAUUACUGUAGAGAAGCAGAAGGUCCAGGUAAUCUGUGAGAGGUACCAGACAAAUAACUUGAUGUUACAGUGAUGAACAAGCUAAGAAGGUUCCUGUGAAGGUACUCAAAUGAUAUGAACUGAAGCUCUGUAUUUUGAUUGCUUGUCCAGUCUGCAUUGAAUAUUAAAUUUCUGCACUUCUUCUGUCAUACUCAGGCUUUUGCAGAGAUAUUGUCCGACUAAGUUAUCGUGGGCUAGAUAAAAUUUUAAAUCUUUGGGCAAUUAUAAAAGUGUGUGACAGUUAAUAUUGAGAAACUAAGGGCUGGUUUACAAAGGUUGGUACCUUUCACCAUGAUUAGCAUGAACCUCAUAAAACAUGGCUAGACAAAUUACUCCAGCCUGAAUUACCAUUGUGUUAGGCUUAUGUGUACUUAACGUAACUCAAAUUGAGGCGGAUAUGUAGUUAUUUCACAGCCACCAUCAUCUUAGCCAGUGUUUCUAUCAGUGUCAGCAACUGUAGCCACCCCCAGGCUGGCCAAUCAAGAUCUCCUAGAACCUUUUAUAUUGAAAAUUGCAGAACAUAAACUUCUCUGAAUAUUAACAUGCAUGUGCCUUUGACUAAGGAAGACUAACUGAGUUGUGACAGUAUCUAUAAAAGUUGUGCAAAUGUUAUUGAGCUUUGAGAUGUGAAGUUGAGCUUCAAGCUGAGAUUGCACAGCAUGAAGUUUUCAGUUCUAAAACAUAAUAUUUAGGCAAGUCUUGCUGAACAAUAACCGCUUGCUGAAUGAUAACCAAAGAGAUUAUCCAAGUUAUAUAUGUAAUCAAGCGAAGAGGAAAGGGAGCAUGCUGAGAAGCUAAUGGAGUACCAAAUUAUCAUUGGAUUCCUUGGCCCUUUAGUUGAUGUAGCAGUGUGCCGCCAGUGCUAGCUAGAAACUGACUAAAUAAUAAUGUCAUCUUCUUGUCUCAUAAACUUUAUUGAGGUUGAGGUAUAUGAGGUUUAUGUGCGGAUCACACUAAUGCUUCAAUGCUACUUCCCGUUACUCAAAUUCAUAGAGGUGAGGAGCCAUUUUAUUUCCAAUGGAAUUAUCAAUACGAAUGCUUUUCAUUAGCAUAUAAAUAAACUUAUUUGCUGGAUA